rnacentral:rRNA from 2 species
UACGUAGGGUGCAAGCGUUAAUCGGAAUUACUGGGCGUAAAGCGUGCGCAGGCGGUUUUGUAAGACAGAGGUGAAAUCCCCGGGCUCAACCUGGGAACUGCCUUUGUGACUGCAAGGCUAGAGUACGGCAGAGGGGGAUGGAAUUCCGCGUGUAGCAGUGAAAUGCGUAGAUAUGCGGAGGAACACCGAUGGCGAAGGCAAUCCCCUGGGCCUGUACUGACGCUCAUGCACGAAAGCCAGGGGCGCGAAC